GGACGGGUGAGUAAUGCUUGGGAAUAUGCCUUAUGGUGGGGGACAACAGUUGGAAACGACUGCUAAUACCGCAUGAUGUCUACGGACCAAAGUGGGGGACCUUCGGGCCUCACGCCAUAAGAUUAGCCCAAGUGGGAUUAGCUAGUUGGUGAGGUAAUGGCUCACCAAGGCGACGAUCCCUAGCUGGUUUGAGAGGAUGAUCAGCCACACUGGGACUGAGACACGGCCCAGACUCCUACGGGAGGCAGCAGUGGGGAAUAUUGCACAAUGGGCGCAAGCCUGAUGCAGCCAUGCCGCGUGUGUGAAGAAGGCCUUCGGGUUGUAAAGCACUUUCAGUAAGGAGGAAAGGUUAGUCACUAAUAUUGGCUAGCUGUGACGUUACUUACAGAAGAAGCACCGGCUAACUCCGUGCCAGCAGCCGCGGUAAUACGGAGGGUGCGAGCGUU
rnacentral:rRNA from 1 species